rnacentral:rRNA from 1 species
GACGAACGCUGGCGGCGUGCCUAUACAUGCAAGUAGAACGCUGAAGGAGGAGCUUGCUUCUCCGGAUGAGUUGCGAACGGGUGAGUAACGCGUAGGUAACCUGCCUGGUAGCGGGGGAUAACUAUUGGAAACGAUAGCUAAUACCGCAUAAUAGUAGAUGUUGCAUGACAUUUGCUUAAAAGGUGCAAUUGCAUCACUACCAGAUGGACCUGCGUUGUAUUAGCUAGUUGGUGGGGUAACGGCUCACCAAGGCGACGAUACAUAGCCGACCUGAGAGGGUGAUCGGCCACACUGGGACUGAGACACGGCCCAGACUCCUACGGGAGGCAGCAGUAGGGAAUCUUCGGCAAUGGACGGAAGUCUGACCGAGCAACGCCGCGUGAGUGAAGAAGGUUUUCGGAUCGUAAAGCUCUGUUGUAAGAGAAGAACGAGUGUGAGAGUGGAAAGUUCACACUGUGACGGUAUCUUACCAGAAAGGGACGGCUAACUACGUGCCAGCAGCCGCGGUAAUACGUAGGUCCCGAGCGUUGUCCGGAUUUAUUGGGCGUAAAGCGAGCGCAGGCGGUUAGAUAAGUCUGAAGUUAAAGGCUGUGGCUUAACCAUAGUACGCUUUGGAAACUGUUUAACUUGAGUGCAAGAGGGGAGAGUGGAAUUCCAUGUGUAGCGGUGAAAUGCGUAGAUAUAUGGAGGAACACCGGUGGCGAAAGCGGCUCUCUGGCUUGUAACUGACGCUGAGGCUCGAAAGCGUGGGGAGCAAACAGG